GGAUGUGAGGGCGAUCUGGCUGCGACAUCUGUCACCCCACUGAUCGCCAGGGUUGAUUCGGCUGAUCAGGCUGGCUAGGUGGGUGUCCCCUUCCUCCCUCAAUGAUCCAUGUGCGUCCCUCCCAAAGCUGCAUGCUCGGUUGAGGAGGACGCCCACCCCCGGUAGAGGAGGACCCUGUCUCGGUCAGGGGUAUACGAGUAGCUGCGCUCCCCUGCUAGAACCUCCACACAAGCUCCUCGAGAAGCUGCCCCCAGCGCCUGUAUGGCCAUCAGGGAGCUCCCGCAGCUGGAGCAGCUGGUGCGUGCCCAUAAUCCCAACACUCUGGAAAGCUGAGUCAGGAAGAUUGCAAGUUUGGGUCCAGUCUGUGUAAGAG
rnacentral:sRNA from 1 species